AGAGUUGGCGCAGGUGGUUGCAGAUUCACCCUAGGGACUGAAUCUGAGGAAAGUCCGGGCUCUCGAAAGACCAAACUUGCUGGGUAACGCCCAGUGCGGGCGACCGUGAGGAUAGUGCCACAGAAACAUACCGCCGAUGGUGUAGAGACGCGCCAUGGAAAGUCUCUACAAACAGGUAAGGGUGCAAAGGUGCGGUAAGAGCGCACCAGCAGCAUCGAGAGGUGCUGGCUCGGUAAACCCCGGUUGUGAGCAAGGUCAAAGGAACUACGGUUGGUCUUUUACCAGUUCCGUCUAAUAGAGCCGCUAGAGGCGUCUGGUGACAGGCGUCCCAGAUAGAUAACUACCCUCUUGGCGAUUCGUCAGGAGAACAGAACCCGGCUUAUGUCUGACUCUCUCC
rnacentral:RNase_P_RNA from 2 species